rnacentral:sRNA from 1 species
AUUGUGUGUGCUGGUGCUGGGGCGGCUACAUAGCUGUGACUACCAGGGGGUGCAGUCUCUGGGGACCACCGCUGCCGAGGCUGGGUACCAUGAUUAUCGCGGAACACCUGCCCAUUAAUCUUGACCCUGUUAAAACAAUAACUGCCUGUCCAGAUAUGCCACACUUCUGCCUGCUGUUGGCAACCCUCCUGGACUAGGCUGCUCUUGUUAAUCACAUGGAUGUUGUUUCUUAAGGUUGCCAGAAUGAAAGUGCUUCAGAUGGCUUUGAGUCCUAAUCUUGUGGUUCUGUUCACUGAAGAUAAGCAGCAAUUUUUUGAUUAUUUUAUUUUCCUAUGGAUUGCCAAUAGGUCUAAAUAACCUCCUUAGUUGUACUGGCAGGACCAAGUAAAAAGACAAGGGAUGAUAAAGAGGGAAGGAAAAAAAGGAAAGAAAGAGAGAAAGAGCGAGGAAAUACGAGAAAGAAAGAGAGAAGGGAAAGAGGAGAGAGAGAAUUGUCUUGGGAAGGUGAUAUAGGCCACUAAUUACUUUAGAGCUGCAAGCCUCCU